rnacentral:lncRNA from 1 species
CUGAGGUCAGUGGCGACGACUGUGGACUGAUGAGCACGUCGAGGCGCCGAGCAGAUUUUGGGGAGUUUUUAUUUUGGGAAUUUUUGAUUCAAUUUCAGAUUUUGGGAAUUUUUUGUCAAUUGGAUUGGAUAUUGGAUAUGUGAAUUGGGUUGGGUAAAUAUAUUUGAAGGGUAAAUGAAUUGUGGGCUUGCUGAAUAAUUAGUUUGGGCUGC